AGCUCCAAUAGCGUAUAUUAAAGUUGUUGCAGUUAAAAAGCUCGUAGUUGCGUUUCUGUUGGGAGGGAUCGUUCCAUGCCUCUGGCUUGGAUUCGUAUCGUCUCCUGACAUCCUUGGGUGGAGCCAUUCUGGCAUUAAGUUGUCGGGGUGGGGAUGCCCAUCGUUUACUGUGAAAAAAUUAGAGUGUUCAAAGCAGGCUUAUGCCGUUGAAUAUAUUAGCAUGGGAUAAUAAGAUAGGACUUUGGUACUAUUUUGUUGGUUUGCGCACCAGAGUAAUGACGAAUAGGGACAGUUGUGGGUAUUCGUAUUCAGUUGUCAGAGGUGAAAUUCUUAGAUUUAUUGAAGACGAACUACUGCGAAAGCAUUUGCCAAGGAUGUUUUCA
rnacentral:rRNA from 1 species